rnacentral:rRNA from 1 species
ACCUCCAAUCAGUCAAGAAUACCCGCUGAAUUUAAGCAUAUUAUUAGGCGGAGGAAAAGAAACUAACCAGGAUUCCCUUAGUAACGGCGAGUGAAGCGGGAAGAGCUCAGACUGAAAAUCUUCGGAAUUGUAGUCUGGAGAAGUAUGGUCAGCCGAUGAUGGCGGGUAAAGUCUCAUGGAAAGGAGCGCCUUGGAGGGUGAUAGCCCCGUUCAUGCCUGCCAUUAGAAGCGUACGACCUGCUUUCUACGAGUCGAGUUGUUUGGGAUUGCAGCUCCAAGUGGGUGGUAAAUUCCAUCUAAAGCUAAAUAUUGGUGGGAGACCGAUAGCGAACAAGUACCGUGAGGGAAAGAUGAAAAGCACUUUGGAAAGAGAGUUAAAAGUACGUGAAAUUGUUGAAAGGGAAACGCUUGAAGUCAGACGUGCGCAGCGCGAUUCAGCUCUGUUUCGGCAGAGUGUAUUUCGUGCUAUUGCAGGCCAGCAUCGGUUUUACGAGCCGGAUAAAGGUUAGAGGAAGGUAGCAUCUUCGGGUGUGUUAUAGCCUCUAACUGAAUACGGAUUGUGAGACCGAGGGACGCAGCGCGGCGAAAGCCAGAGGGUCCGCCCUCUUCGCGCUUAGGAUGCUGGUGAAAUGGCUUUAAACGACCCGUCUUGUAACACGGACCAAGGAGUCUAACAUGUGUGCGAGUGCUCGGGGUGAACCCCCCAGCGCGAAAUUAACGUAAAGGUGAUCUGAUCACUUAAGUAGGAACUUCGGUGCACUACUGACCGACCAUGAUCCUCCGGGAGAAAGGUUUGAGUGUGAGCAUACAUGUUGGGACCCGAAAGAUGGUGAACUAUGC